AUGAGGGGAAAGGGAGUGCUGGCAGCAACGUCCAUGUGGGCUUUCGACCGCUACGAGGUUGCUCGUAGCCUGUGGAAGAUGGUGAUGGUGCCCGGACUGACUUUUGCAAAUCGGGUACUGUGCACGUCGUCUCAGACUCGGGAGUUCCUAGAGGUUAGACAGCGGGAGGCGGGACGGAUGGCACUCGGGGCACACAGGGGGACUCCAAACGAAGGGGUGCAGGGGGACCUCGGAUGGUCUGCUUUUGAGUCGAGGGAAGCGGUGGCUAAGCUGUCUUACGAGAGGCGUCUUUGCGGCCUCGGAGAGGAGCGAUGGGCCAGGAGGGUGUUUAAGUACCUCGUGUACAGGAGUUUAAACACGCGCCUGACCAAACGGGUGGCCAGGCUCGCGGGGAAGUAUGAGGUACCACCGACCCUGCUGGACGGCCGGCCGCUCCGAGAGGGAGUUGCGGACCUCAAGAAGCACGUGCGGCAGGUCGAGACGCGAAGGUGGACGGAGUCGGCCACACGAAAACCAUCAAUGACUGUGUAUGCGGCCUCGAAGCGGGCGAUCGAGCGGGAGCAGCUGUAUGAUGACUCCAGGGGCAGCGGCUUGCUUUUCGAGGCACGAACGGGGACCCUCAAGACCAGGCUGUGGAGAUCGCGAUAUGACGCUGGGGCCCCAAUCGCCUGCGUCGCCUGCGGAGCAGCAGAGGAGGCAACCGAACAUCUGGUGCUGCAGUGCAAGGCCCUCAGCCCGUGCCCCCAGGUGGACCAUCUGCCGGACGCGCUGGGCUUCCGGACGGCGGAGCGGGGGGAUGACGGCGAGGAACACGUCGAGACCACCAAGCGCCGACUAGAGCAGUGGUGGGAGAUUUCCUGGCGGCUGUGGAAGAGGGAGAGGCGAGCUGGGCCGGACGUGCAAGCGCAAGCCGGACAGCCGAUGUUUUCCGCCCAAGUCGACCUGCCCCACACCGAGGACCCGACCGAAGCUCCACCACAACAAGAACUCGGCUAGACUUGGCUAGAAACCAGACUAAGCAAGCCUUUUUUUCUUUUUGGCAGGCCAUCGCCGGAACUUCCGGCGAGCGGCCACCCGUUACAAAGGGACGCCACUAAAUCCAAAUCCAAAUCCAAAUCCAGUCGCUUGACAAAGGAAGUAACCGCUGGACCGCCAAAGCACGCAAGGGAGCCGUGGUUCAUCGCUUCACUCGGGCUGACGCAGCAUUUUGGUUCGACAGUUCCGUCGUUUUACUGGCGUUCUCGAUUUCCUCGCUUCCACGAAGCGCCGAUGUCGGAGACGUAUAACAAAGCGCCACUAUACCUGCAAUUGGCCCUUCAGGCCUAUCAGCAACACGUCAACCAGAGUCAGGAUGAUUACGGAAAACACUACCACUACACCGAAGGCCCUUGCACAGUGCCGGAGUCUAACUACGAGCCCCUACCCAAAUACCAACGUUCAAAUAGACACCACGAACCCGCCGGGAACGUUCCGAAUCGUCGCCAACGCUGGCUGGAAAAACACGCCAAGCCGAACGUGGGUCAUCAAACGGAGCCGCCCAAAGCCCCCGUCGAAACAAAGUCUGUGGCCUGUUGGACUUUCCAACACGGCACGGAGGAACCGCACUGCUUCUUUUCGAACACGAAGUGGCCGAAGCAGCGCAGGGUCGUCAGGGGCCUACCGGACGACAAGAUUCCCACGCUUUUUCGGGGGAGGACGGUGACGGUCAUGGACCGUCUUGCCGAGGGCGCUUGCGUGGAACCCGCCGAAGACGCAGUCUACUGCAAGGUCUGCGGCGGUCUGGUGAUCGUACAAGAACGGCACGAGGAGUCGCGGUUGCACCAAAGCCGCCUUCGGCCCGACUUCUCGAAGGAGCCGUUCGACACACUCGUUGAGGACAUGCUCGGCAAUCCUUGCGCGGCGGCGGUGGACGAAGAGGAUGGCGACGGCUCUGGAGGCGGAGAUGGCGAUUCAUAAUCGGUGAUGUUUACCUCCCCUUCCGUUGGGCUUCCUCUCGAUCGGAGGAGCUGACUGCAAUGUUUGAGAAGAGGGGCUUUGUGGAAGAGAUGAACCACCUCGAUCGGAGGCUCCAGGUGAACCGUGGCAAGCUUCUCCAGAUGUUCAGGGUCUGGAUCCAGGCUCGCUUCCGAAAGCCCACAGCUCCCAGCUGACCCUGACCAGGGAGAUUAACUCCUAUCCGAAUAAAAGGGACACUCUCUGCUUA